CCCUAAUCUGCACAGGGAAGUACUGCUGUGAUAUUCUGCGGUGCCUUUUAGCCCCAGGCAUUGCACAUAUUUUCACUAAGACCUUUAUUGCCAUCCUAUGUAUGUCUGAAGCAGGCGAAUGCAAAAACUACAUCUUAGUGAAAGAAAACGCGAGCACAUCAGCUGUUUGAGGAGAUGCUUCCUUGCUGCUGUACACUGUAGCAAAGCUGAUGCGCUCAUGUUUUCUUUCACUAAGAUAUAGUUUUUGCAUUCACCUGCAUCACAGGAGUGUAAAAACAUUUGUGUGCAGUAAAACAAGACAGGAAUAAGCCUGCUGUGGAGGGAGUGGGAGUGAUUUCAGUUUCUCUACUGCCAGGAAUAUUUCAUUUCAUGUGAGGAUAUCACUUCUGUGUGAAGUCCAUUGGCCACCCACAAAGGCACCCUACAGGCACUUUUCUUUCUGUUAUAUGUCUUUAAAUCCUCCCAGUUCCGCAGAGUGAAGAACCAAUGUGAGGCUUGCCAUUAGCAUCAUCUGUACUAGUGUUCUCUAGCAGAGUGUAUGUGGCUGGCCAGCUGGUACAGCUGCCCAACACAUUUUAUCUGCAGCUAUUACGCAGUGUUGGCACCCACAACUUGAUACUAACAAAUAGGGCUGGUGUCCAUUCCUGGCACUUCCUGGAUUGCGUGGGAGAGUUUUCCGUAACUUACUGUCAGGGAAGAAUGUGCUCGUUAAUUACUGCAGAUGCACAUAGAGGCCUGUACUGUCGUCCUCUGAUUUCAAAGCACCCUGCAAGCCUGGCACGUAAAUCUUCUUUGUGUUAUCUAGGGAGGGACUACUCAGACCAGACCCAGACCCCUGAGCUCACAUGGAGCCGCUUUAAAAAUCAUUUGAUCAGUGGUCUCUCUUUGAAAGUUUCCUGCUCAUUUCAGGAGGCAAAUCAUCACCUGGAUCAAGAGGCAGAUGGGAUUUGAAACUGCAUUCCUUGAGGUGCCAGAAGAGACAGACACAAGGGUCAGCCCAGCCUCUGCUGUGCCUUCAUGAAGCCAUCAUUGAGGGAAGGCUGAUUACUGACAUGGCCCUGUGAAGAUCAUCUUUACAUACCCCUUCUUCUCCUCCCUAGCUAAAAGAGUUCAUUUCUGUGCCAUUUCCAUUUUCCCAUGCUCCUCAAAUCAAACACAGCCUCAUGGACACAAUAACAGCUCUGUUCACAAGAUGCUUUUUGGGCAAUUAGGAAUUUGCCUGGGCAGGAUGUCACCUAGCCAAAUAAAUCUCUUUGUCUGAAAUGUUUUAAUUUGUUU
rnacentral:lncRNA from 1 species